GUGGGGAAUAUUGCGCAAUGGGCGAAAGCCUGACGCAGCGACGCCGCGUGAGGGACGACGGCCUUCGGGUUGUAAACCUCUUUCAGCAGGGACGAAGCGAAAGUGACGGUACCUGCAGAAGAAGCACCGGCUAACUACGUGCCAGCAGCCGCGGUAAUACGUAGGGUGCAAGCGUUGUCCGGAUUUAUUGGGCGUAAAGAGCUCGUAGGUGGCCUGCCGCGUCGGAUGUGAAAACCCGGGGCUCAACCCCGGGCCUGCAUUCGAUACGGGCAGGCUAGAGGAUGGCAGGGGAAACUGGAAUUCCUGGUGUAGCGGUGAAAUGCGCAGAUAUCAGGAGGAACACCGGUGGCGAAGGCGGGUUUCUGGGCCAUUCCUGACACUGAGGAGCGAAAGCGUGGGGAGCAAACAGGAUUAGAAACCCCGGUAGUCC
rnacentral:rRNA from 1 species